rnacentral:rRNA from 1 species
UAACGCGAAGAACCUUACCAACCCUUGACAUCCUAGGACCACCCGAGAGAUCGGGCUUUCACUUCGGUGACCUAGUGACAGGUGCUGCAUGGCUGUCGUCAGCUCGUGUCGUGAGAUGUUCGGUUAAGUCCGGCAACGAGCGCAACCCACAUCCUUAGUUGCCAGCAGUUCGGCUGGGCACUCUAGGGAAACUGCCCGUGAUAAGCGGGAGGAAGGUGUGGAUGACGUCAAGUCCUCAUGGCCCUUACGGGUUGGGCUACACACGUGCUACAAUGGCAGUGACAAUGGGUUAAUCCCCAAAAACUGUCUCAGUUCGGAUUGGGGUCUGCAACUCGACCCCAUGAAGUCGGAAUCGCUAGUAAUCGCGUAACAGCAUGACGCGGUGAAUACGUUCCCCGGGUCUGUACACACCG